rnacentral:rRNA from 1 species
AUUAGCUAGUUGGUGAGGUAACGGCUCACCAAGGCGACGAUGGCUAGGGGUCCUGAGAGGGUUAUCCCCCACACUGGUACUGAGACACGGACCAGACUCCUACGGGAGGCAGCAGUAAGGAAUAUUGGGCAAUGGACGCAAGUCUGACCCAGCCAUGCCGCGUGCAGGAAGACGGCCUUAUGGGUUGUAAACUGCUUUUAUCAGGGAAUAAACCCUUGUUUGUAAACAAGGCUGAAGGUACCUGAAGAAUAAGCAUCGGCUAACUCCGUGCCAGCAGCCGCGGUAAUACGGAGGAUGCAAGCGUUAUCCGGAUUCAUUGGGUUUAAAGGGUGCGCAGGCGGGCUAAUAAGUCAGGGGUGAAAUACUACGGCUCAACCGUGGAACUGCCUUUGAUACUGUUAGUCUUGAGUAUAGUUGAAGUGGGCGGAAUGUAGCAUGUAGCGGUGAAAUGCAUAGAGAUGCUACAGAACACCGAUAGCGAAGGCAGCUCACUAAGUUAGUACUGACGCUCAUGCACGAAAGCGUGGGGAUCAAACAGGAUUAGAUACCCUGGUAGUCCACGCUGUAAAC